GUUAUAGUAUGACGCGGUAGCACAAGGAGUAUUUUUUGCAGCAUAUAACUGAUAUGAAAAAAAACGAUUCUUCUUGGACAUUACUCAAAAUUGUCCUUUGAGGCGGCGCUGCGCAGUACCAAAUUGGUACCGCGAGAGCGUUUCAAAUACAAACGGUGCAGUCUGCUAUCAAAUGAUUCUCGCGUGACUUUGAUGUCAUCGUGUCGAUCAGUCUUGCGCAACACUUUUUCCGCGGUUCUUCUCCAUCUUCCGCUCAAAAAGUAUACUCAAGAGGCUAAUAUCUGCAGCAAAGUGAAUAUCGAGGUCCAUAGUUGGGGACCACCGAUCUAAGGAAUAAGUUAGUUGGAUUCGCUUCCUCUUCUGUCUUUGCGACGUUGGACCCAAUACUUCAAG